CCGCUCUGUCCAACAACAGGUUGUUAUUGGACUACCUCCACGUCCUGAGGGAUGUGAAGACUCAGCUGAACGUUGUGCAGAGUUUCCUCGAAGCCCACCUUGGUUUACUGGAGGACAUCAGCAAAGCUCCACUGGAGCAGCAACGCGGCCGAGGUCACAGUCAAGUUUGACUAUAAUGAAAAAAAAAAUCAUUGUGUUUCCAAAGUCUCAGAUCUUUCCGUUGUUCCUUUGAUUCGUUUUAGAUUCACCUCAGUAGAGCAGAAUGGGGAGAACAUGUUGAUCUUUUAUUUUCCAGGUGGAUUAAACAGCCCAAACUCUUCUCUUCCCUGUUCUCCAGUCGAUCAUGACACUCCAGGGGAUGUGUAUUCUUACAGGGCUCAAGUGAUGUACCAGAUGGUCAUCAGUGGUAAGACCUUCGAUGCCCACCUUCAGCUGAUGGCCAAGGUUCAGGCUCUCCUUCAGGACAAGCUUCAGCUCAUUUCAUGCUGCCAGGAUGGUCAGAUCAUCAUUAUGUUCUGCACCAUCACUUCACAGAGUGGAUCAGACAUUCAUUCGGCCAUGACUCGUGUAACGGGUAAUGAACCUGUCAUCCUGGUUCUGAUGCAUCACACACUGGAGGUCAAACACACACUUUUAAGAAGAACGUGGUCUCAUUACUCCAAUAUUGUGUUGCACGUCAACGUUUUCUACCACGAGGCAGCAGGUGGAUUACUGAGAUGUCAAGAAAACAAUGCUGCUGCCUCCUGGAUUCAGAGCAGAUUACUGGAAUACAGCCUGCCGAGGAAUAGGUGCAGCUUGAGUGGUGAAUGUGAUGGUGCUGUUAAUGAUCGAGGCUCUCGUGUUGACGGUAGCGGCAGUUUUAGGCUGUUCAGCAGUGGCAGCAGCAGCAGUAGCAGCACCAGUAGUAGUGAUAGUUGUAGUAAAAGUAUCUGGGGCCCUGGGGAGUAG
rnacentral:lncRNA from 1 species